GACGAACGCUGGCGGCGUGCUUAACACAUGCAAGUCGAACGAAGAGCGAUGGAAGCUUGCUUCUAUCAAUCUUAGUGGCGAACGGGUGAGUAACGCGUAAUCAACCUGCCCUUCAGAGGGGGACAACAGUUGGAAACGACUGCUAAUACCGCAUACGAUCUAACCUCGGCAUCGAGGAUAGAUGAAAGGUGGCCUCUACAUGUAAGCUAUCACUGAAGGAGGGGAUUGCGUCUGAUUAGCUAGUUGGAGGGGUAACGGCCCACCAAGGCGAUGAUCAGUAGCCGGUCUGAGAGGAUGAACGGCCACAUUGGGACUGAGACACGGCCCAGACUCCUACGGGAGGCAGCAGUGGGGAAUCUUCCGCAAUGGACGAAAGUCUGACGGAGCAACGCCGCGGGAGUGAUGACGGCCUUCGGGUUGUAAAGCUCUGUUAAUCGGGACGAAAGGCCUUCUUGCGAAUAGUGAGAAGGAUUGACGGUACCGGAAUAGAAAGCCACGGCUAACUACGUG
rnacentral:rRNA from 1 species